UGUAAGACAGUGGUUGUCCUAAGUAAAUCUAACAAAAAGGCUGUUCUGUGGCAGCCUAACCUUAGCAACCUACAAUAUUUUUUAAAAAUCAAAGCCUUAAAAAACACAAAUGUCAUGACUUUGUAGUGCUGCAUAAUGAAAGAAAUACAUACGUAUUCCAAUAUGGAACUGAACAUUGUUUGAGGCUGGAGCAAUUCAUCGUGUGCUAUUCGGUGCCGCAGUGUCCGGCAAAUUGCAAGAUCUGCUUGUUAGGCUUGACAACAGUGCUGUACCUAACAAAGGCCUCUGCAGCGCCGAGCAGCAGUGGAAUGUUGAGCGCUGGCUGAGUAAUACAUUGCCCUGAAACCCAUAAGCCAGGAGGCGAAAGAAGUUUCAAGGAAGUUAAGCCAGAAGUGUUGGAAAGCAUGCAGUUAUCGGCAUACAUUGAUGGGGAUUUUCAUUAACAAUUUUUAUUUCUGUGAAUUGCAGAGCCAUCACCCCC
ensembl:lncRNA